GAUAACAUGCUUAUCUUACCCAAGAGCUCACAUCAACAGGAAGGUUUUGCACCUUGAUGUUGACUCUUCGCCACCUGGGGUUGUAGUAUGUUUCAAGGGUUGGGUUGUUCGCCCAUUAAAACGGUACGUGAGCUGGGCUUGGAAUGUCAUGAAACAGUUU
rnacentral:ncRNA from 1 species